GCUAGCGAUUAGCAUGUAGCUAGCAAUUAUCAUGUAGCUAGCGAUUAGCAGUUAGCUAGCGAUUAGCACGUAGCUAGCGAUUAGCGGUUAGCUAGCGAUUAGCACGUAGCUAAGCGCUAGCUUUGGUUUAUGUGUGCUAGCUCUAGCUAGCUAGCUAAAGAGAAUGACAUGAUAUUAAUAUGCUAGCACUAGCUAAGGAGGAUGACAGGUUAUCAAUAUGCUAUAGGGAGGAUUACAUGGCAUUAAUAAGCUAGAGCUAGCUGGCUAGCUAAAGAUAAUUAGAAGGUGGCUAACAAGCAAACAAUUUAAAGCUGAAUGAUUUUAAUAUUAACACAAAAUAAGAACAAUACACCUUAAAUAUUUUACCCUACUAUGAGCUGUUCCUUAAUUUACAUUAGCACUCCUUCAGGAGCAUAAUACAAUUAAACACAUUAACCACAGCUAGCACUUAGCUAGCGAUUAGCGCUUAGCUAGUGAUUAGCAUGUAGCUAGCGAUUAGCGGUUAAAUAGCGGUUAGCACGUAGACAUGGUAUUAACAUAUGGGCCAGAGCAAGGCACAAUCAAAAUUGCUUUAGGAAUUUUCUAGUUAUUGUGCCUUGCAUAAGCAAGCACAAUACUACUAUCCCUCGGGCUUAUUAUUAUUAUUCUUCCGUACGUUUUUCGGCGCGCUACUCCUCCCGCAGCUUUUGUCGCACAUACACAAAAAAGGUAUCAAAACGUGCGGCUCGGCCGGGAAUCGAGUGCUAUGACUUUUCUAAGCGUUUCGCCAAACGGUUUGCCGGUAAAUCGCCAAAAACCGGUAAAAAAAAAUGAAUGGGUGUGUAUUGCGAGAACCUCAACUGAAAAAAACUGCCAGAGUGCGUGACAUCAUCGCUAGAGUGUGGGGAGAAGGGAAAAAUUUGUCGAAAAAUAAAUUUGUAAACUGCUGUCAUGGCCACAAAUUUCACUCUACAGAAAUAAUUUAUAGAUAGAAACGUAGGUAAAUUCGUUGGGGUCGCAGUGAUACUACUGCUGAAGCUGUCAGACAAAUAGUUUUGGCGGGAGACGCACUGAUGCGCCAGCAACACCCUCUCAUGGCCCCAUCUACUCCCAUAUUAAAAUGGAGAGCAGGAUUCUUGAAAAACGCUCGUUGAACCUCUUCUCUCUCAAUCUCCCCAGGUCACAUUUUUUAACUUUAGCCACUGAAACUCGGCAGCGCUAUAGUCAACAAGAUGACGACGCUCACGGUCUUUUCGGAUUUCAUUUCGGUCGUUCCUGGCCAUGCUUUUUAGGGGAUUCAUUUUAAAUGUUUUCUGUCUCUCUGAGGAGUUAGAGACAGAGAGAGAGCGUGCGCAGCUGCUGUGGGCUCCCCUGAUUGCCAUGACAACCAAAGCCUGCUCACACACACACACACACACACACACACACACAGCUAGCUACAGAGAAUGACAAGCAUUAAUAAGCUAGCGCUAGCUGGCUAGCUAAAGAUAAUUAGCAGGUGGCUAACAAGCAAACAAUUUAAAGCUGAAUGAUUUUAAUAUUAACACAAAAUAAGUUCAAUACACCUUAAAUAUUUUACCCUACUAUGAGCUGUUCCUUAAUUUACAUUAGCACUCCUUCAGGAGCAUAAUACAAUUAAACACAUUAACCAAAGCUAGCACUUAGCUAGCGAUUAGCGCUUAGCUAGCGAUUAGCAUGUAGAUAGCGAUUAGCGGUUAGCUAGCGAUUAGCACGUAGCUAGCGAUUAGCGGUUAGCUAGCGAUUAGCACGUAGCUAAGCGCUAGCUUUGGUUUAUGUGUGCUAGCUUUAGCUAGCUAGCUAAAGAGAAUGACAUGAUAUUAAUAUGCUAGCGCUAGCUAAGGAGGAUGACAGGUUAUCAAUAUGCUAUAGGGAGGAUUACAUGGCAUUAAUAAUCUAGAGCUAGCUGGCUAGCUAAAGAUAAUUAGCAGGUGGCUAACAAGCAAACAAUUUAAAGCUGAAUGAUUUUAAUAUUAACACAAAAUAAGUUCAAUACACCUUAAAUAUUUUACCCUACUAUGAGCUGUUCCUUAAUUUACAUUAGCACUCCUUCAGGAGCAUAAUACAAUUAAACACAUUAACCAAAGCUAGCACUUAGCUAGCGAUUAGCGCUUAGCUAGCGAUUAGCAUGUAGAUAGCGAUUAGCGGUUAGCUAGCGAUUAGCACGUAGCUAGCGAUUAGCGGUUAGCUAGCGAUUAGCACGUAGCUAAGCGCUAGCUUUGGUUUAUGUGUGCUAGCUUUAGCUAGCUAGCUAAAGAGAAUGACAUGAUAUUAAUAUGCUAGCGCUAGCUAAGGAGGAUGACAGGUUAUCAAUAUGCUAUAGGGAGGAUUACAUGGCAUUAAUAAUCUAGCGCUAGCUGGCUAGCUAAAGAUAAUUAGCAGGUGGCUAACAAGCAAACAAUUUAAAGCUGAAUGAUUUUAAUAUUAACACAAAAUAAGAACAAUACACCUUAAAUAUUUUACCCUACUAUGAGCUGUUCCUUAAUUUACAUUAGCACUCCUUCAGGAGCAUAAUACAAUUAAACACAUUAACCAAAGCUAGCACUUAGCUAGCGAUUAGCGGUUAGCACUUAGCUAGCGAUUAGCGCAGAGCUAGCGGUUAGCACGUAGACAUGGUAUUAACAUAUGGGCCAGAGCAAGGCACAAUCAAAAUUGCUUUAGGAAUUUUCUAGUUAAACUUAUUAUUAUUCUUCCGUACGUUUUUCGGCGCGCUUCUUCUCCCAGAGCUUUUGUCGCACAUACACAAAAAAGGUAUCAAAACGUGCGGCUCGUUGAGGACAUUAGUGCUAUGACUUUUCUAAGAAUUUCGCCAAACGGUUUGCCGGUAAAUCGCCGAAAACCGGUCCAAAAAAUGAAUGGGUGUGUAUUGCGAGAACCUCCAACUGAAAAAAACUGCCAGAGUGUGUGACAUCAUCGCUAGAGUGUGGGGAGAGAGAAAAAUUUGUCUAAAAAUAAAUUUGUAAACUGCUGUCAUGGCCACAAAUUUCACUCUACAGAAAUAAUUUAUAGAUAGAAACGUAGGUAAAUCCGUUGGGGUCGCAGUGAUACCACUGCUGAAGCUGUCAGACAAAUAGUUUUGGCGGGAAACGCACUGAUGCGCCAGCAACUCCCUCUCACGGCCCCAUCUACUCCCAUAUUAAAAUGGAGAGGAGGAAUCUUGAAAAACGCUCGUUGAACCUCUUCUCUCUCAAUCUCCCCAGGUCACAUUUUUUAACUUUAACCACUGAAACUCGGCAGCGCUAUAGUCAACAAGAUGACGACGCUCACGGUGUUUUCGGUUUUCAUUUCGGUCGUUCCUGGCCAUGCGUUCGAGGGGAUUCAUUUUAAUUGUUUUCUGUCUCUCUGAGGAGUUAGAGACAGAGAGAGAGCAUGCGCAGCUGCUGUGGGCUCCCCUGAUUGCCAUGACAACCAAAGCCUGCUCACACACACACACACACACACACACACACACACACAGCUAGCUACAGAGAAUGACAAGGCAUUAAUAAGCUAG